UGCUUACUAAGUUAUAACAGUGCCACAGCUGGUGUCUAUGGGUUAGAGCUGGUUGUGGAGGAUUUCCCCCAACAAAGCAUCAGUCUCUCCUACACAAAUGGUUCCACCGUUUUCAGAAGUCCAUUUAAUCGAGAAGGCAGUCCUCUUAGCAAGCUUCCUCUGCAAUUUGCCAUCAAAGUUGAAACUGCCAUUGCUUCUUGUGUUGAGGGAGAAUACUUGCCAAAGUUCGUUCCUCCAACCCCUGAGAAUGGGGAGACAAUUCUAGCUGUGGUCAACCAGGAGCUGAAGAUCAUAAUAAAUGCAACAGCCUCUAUGGCAGGAAUUCGUGGUCUUUUGAUAAG